CUGCGGCGUGCCUAAUACAUGCAAGUCGAGCGGACAGAUGGGAGCUUGCUCCCUGAUGUUAGCGGCGGACGGGUGAGUAACACGUGGGUAACCUGCCUGUAAGACUGGGAUAACUCCGGGAAACCGGGGCUAAUACCGGAUGCUUGAUUGAACCGCAUGGUUCAAUUAUAAAAGGUGGCUUUUAGCUACCACUUACAGAUGGACCCGCGGCGCAUUAGCUAGUUGGUGAGGUAACGGCUCACCAAGGCAACGAUGCGUAGCCGACCUGAGAGGGUGAUCGGCCACACUGGGACUGAGACACGGCCCAGACUCCUACGGGAGGCAGCAGUAGGGAAUCUUCCGCAAUGGACGAAAGUCUGACGGAGCAACGCCGCGUGAGUGAUGAAGGUUUUCGGAUCGUAAAACUCUGUUGUUAGGGAAGAACAAGUACCGUUCGAAUAGGGCGGUACCUUGACGGUACCUAACCAGAAAGCCACGGCUAACUACGUGCCAGCAGCCGCGGUAAUACGUAGGUGGCAAGCGUUGUCCGGAAUUAUUGGGCGUAAAGCGCGCGCAGGCGGUUUCUUAAGUCUGAUGUGAAAGCCCCCGGCUCAACCGGGGAGGGUCAUUGGAAACUGGGGAACUUGAGUGCAGAAGAGGAGAGUGGAAUUCCACGUGUAGCGGUGAAAUGCGUAGAGAUGUGGAGGAACACCAGUGGCGAAGGCGACUCUCUGGUCUGUAACUGACGCUGAGGCGCGAAAGCGUGGGGAGCGAACAGGAUUAGAUACCCUGGUAGUCCACGCCGUAAACGAUGAGUGCUAA
rnacentral:rRNA from 1 species